rnacentral:rRNA from 1 species
GACGAACGCUGGCGGCGUGCUUAACACAUGCAAGUCGAACGGAAAGGCCCUGCUUUUGUGGGGUGCUCGAGUGGCGAACGGGUGAGUAACACGUGAGUAACCUGCCCUUGACUUUGGGAUAACUUCAGGAAACUGGGGCUAAUACCGGAUAGGAGCUCCUGCUGCAUGGUGGGGGUUGGAAAGUUUCGGCGGUUGGGGAUGGACGGGCGGCUUAUCAGCUUGUUGGUGGGGUAGUGGCUUACCAAGGCUUUGACGGGUAGCCGGCCUGAGAGGGUGACCGGCCACAUUGGGACUGAGAUACGGCCCAGACUCCUACGGGAGGCAGCAGUGGGGAAUAUUGCACAAUGGGCGGAAGCCUGAUGCAGCAGCGCCGCGUGCGGGAUGACGGCCUUCGGGUUGUAAACCGCUUUCGCCUGUGACGAAGCGUGAGUGACGGUAAUGGGUAAAGAAGCACCGGCUAACUACGUG